ACGGGAGGCAGCAGUGGGGAAUAUUGGACAAUGGGCGCAAGCCUGAUCCAGCGACGCCGCGUGAGCGAUGAAGUAUUUCGGUAUGUAAAGCUCUAUCAGCAGGGAAGAAAACGACGGUACCUGACUAAGAAGCCCCGGCUAACUACGUGCCAGCAGCCGCGGUAAUACGUAGGGGGCAAGCGUUAUCCGGAUUUACUGGGUGUAAAGGGUGCGCAGGCGGGACUGCAAGUUGGAUGUGAAAUACCGGGGCUCAACCCCGGAACUGCAUCCAAAACUGUAGUUCUUGAGUGGAGUAGAGGUAAGCGGAAUUCCGAGUGUAGCGGUGAAAUGCGUAGAUAUUCGGAGGAACACCAGUGGCGAAGGCGGCUUACUGGGCUCUAACUGACGCUGAGGCACGAAAGCAUGGGUAGCAAACAGGAUUAGAUACCCUGGUA
rnacentral:rRNA from 1 species